rnacentral:lncRNA from 1 species
UUGAAUGAGAGCAAGAGUUUAUUUUUUGUGUGUGUUUCUUUCUGAGUCUGUCCAUGUGUCAGAACAAUGAAAGGCUUUUAUAGCAUAAAAUAAAGCAAACAAAUAGGUAGGAAAUCAAUUGUACACAAAUAAGGCAGAGAAAUUAAUUAGUUUGUCAAUUAGGGCUAACAUGAAUCAAUUAAUAAGCAGAAUUAAGUAAGUACGGAGUAAAUCAGCAGACAAGAUUGAGUUUUUAAAUAAGGUAAGUAGUAAGUCCAGAGAUUAGAAAUCAGACCAGUAGAGGAAUUAUCACGGAUAAGGAAAGAACAGGUAAAAAUCUUAUAAGGAAAUAUCAGUUUUAAAAGGGAAGCACAAUUUCAAACCCUAACUAGGCAAGUAAAUCAAUUAACACGUUAA